rnacentral:rRNA from 1 species
GACGAACGCUGGCGGCGCGCCUAACACAUGCAAGUCGAACGGAGCUGCGAGAAGCUUGCUUUUCUUAGCUUAGUGGCGAACGGGUGAGUAACGCGUGAGUAACCUGCCCUGGAGUGGGGGACAACAGCUGGAAACGACUGCUAAUACCGCAUAAGCUCACGAUCCGGCAUCGGAUUGAGGGAAAAGGAUUUAUUCGCUUCAGGAUGGACUCGCGUCCAAUUAGCUAGUUGGUGAGGUAACGGCCCACCAAGGCGAGGAUUGGUAGCCGGACUGAGAGGUUGGACGGACACAUUGGGACUGAGACACAGCACAGACUCCUACGCGAGGCAGCAGUGGGGGAUAGUGCACAAUGGGGGAAACCCUGAUGCAGCGACGCCGCGUGGAGGAAGAAGGUUGGCGGAUUGUAAACUCCUGUCGUUAGGGACGAUAAUGACGGUACCUAACAAGAAAGCACCGGCUAACUACGUG